rnacentral:lncRNA from 1 species
GCAGCUCCGUCCUCCCAGGGGGCGCUGCAGGCACGUCUGCUUGGGCAGGGGCCCGGCGGAAGCGCCGCUCUAGGCUGCAGCCGCGCCCCCAGCCGUAUUUCCGCGGGCGCUGAGCACUAGAGAGAGCGUCUUGUGGCUGCGGCCUGCCCCUCAGCCUCCUCCGCGCGGUUACCCCUGUACCCGCCGCCAUCCGUCCUGGCGCUCCGGAUGAGUCAAUGAGGGGCAGGGCCCGAGGAGUGGUCUUCCCAAGAACCCCUGGUGGCCUCCCAAGGCCGGUGCUGUGUACCUCCUCCCCGACAAAAGGGGAAACUGAGGCCCCGAGGGGAGUGGGAAGAGCCGGCUGGACGUCAGGCCCAGCCGCUGGUGCAGUGGUCCGUCCCCUCUGCCGGGGUGGGCCCCUCGGGUUUCGCGUGUCCUCGGGAAAGAGACUGGCGGGUGAGCCGCGCCCUCGGCCUUCGCUGGGCUAAGCCGACCCCAUGCAGACGUCAAACCCCCCUAGGUCGGCACAGCCUCUCUGCGGGGAGGCUUAGUGCCCCCUUGAGAAACGGCUUGGCAACGCUGUGCCCGGGGCCUUGCACGCGGGCUGAGGGGGCUAGAGACCUCGCGACUUUUACUCCCCCGACCCCGAUCUCCGACUCCUGACUUUGGAAGCCCCCAAAGCUGCUUUUCGGUUGCCUACAAAGUGUCGGUCAUUGUGCCACGUCCUUGGAACCGUGAACUCAUUUUCUCCUCAAUAACCUUUAAAAAGUAGCUGUAAAACCUCCAUUUUACAGACCAGUUGGCUGAGGUUUAAAUGGAGGACGCUCCCAGGGCCCCAGAGGGGCGAAUUCCAGACUCCUUUGCCAGGACCUUGUACUAAGCCCCUUCCCUACGCUUUUCCCUGCCUAGGCCUCGUGGGCUGUGCGGCUAUCCUGGAGACAGAUGACAGCUCUCCCUUGGAUGGCUUUGCUGGUUCCGCACCAGCCAGCGCCCCCAUUUUUCCUGCAGCACCCUGAUCUGCACUCCCUGAGGGGCUCCCACUGUCCGCGGUGUGAGGAUGUCCCUGGAUAGUCCACUGUGUGCAGAGGCAUGGGAGUUGUCAUGUUGGGAACAUGCUAGACCUCAGUAUCCUUGAGCUUGAAGAAAGACGACAGAACACUGGAGACCAAGUACUUACAGCCUUCUGCUCUGUGGCCCCUCCUCACUCCAGGGAUGCUGCCUUGGGUCUGGAAACUGUUAGAGGAAACCCCAAGAGGUGCAGGCACUGAGCCUCUCAGGACAAUGACCUGGGGUCCCAGCUCCCCUGGAGGGGCCUCCUCAUGAUUGUUUGGGGGUUGAUCACAGACCAAGAGUGACGAGUGAUGUCACCCUGUGACUCAUGGCUGGACCUUCUUGCCCCUAUUGUCUCAGCACAACAUUAUUCGACUUUUCCCUCAGCGUGGGUGGGCAGAGGAAAAGCCCUGUGGCUCUGGGGACUUGGGAUCCAGAGUUGAAGACCCUUCAGCUGGCUCUGCCCUGCCAGUGCCACAGAGUGCCAUGGCCCAGGAAGACAGGUUUUCUUCCAUCUAGGCCAGGCCAUCCAGUGGCCAUCCUCCGUGUCCUCCCGCCUCCUCCUGGUGUGACUUCUGAAAACCAAGAAUUUGUUCCUGUUGACUUUUUCUGUGCUAUGGACCAUUGUCCUCUCACCCACUCAAUAAAUCUUGAAACAUGCCCUGCU